rnacentral:rRNA from 1 species
AUUGAACGCUGGCGGCAGGCUUAACACAUGCAAGUCGAGCGGAGCGAGGGUGCUUGCACCUUAGCUUAGCGGCGGACGGGUGAGUAAUGCUUAGGAAUCUGCCUAUUAGUGGGGGACAACAUUCCGAAAGGGAUGCUAAUACCGCAUACGCCCUACGGGGGAAAGCAGGGGAUCUUCGGACCUUGCGCUAAUAGAUGAGCCUAAGUCGGAUUAGCUAGUUGGUGGGGUAAAGGCCUACCAAGGCGACGAUCUGUAGCGGGUCUGAGAGGAUGAUCCGCCACACUGGGACUGAGACACGGCCCAGACUCCUACGGGAGGUAGCAGUGGGGAAUAUUGGACAAUGGGCGGAAGCCUGAUCCAGCCAUGCCGCGUGUGUGAAGAAGGCCUUCUGGUUGUAAAGCACUUUAAGCGAGGAGGAGGCUCUUAAGGUUAAUACCCUUGAUGAGUGGACGUUACUCGCAGAAUAAGCACCGGCUAACUCUGUGCCAGCCGCCGCGGUAAUAC